GACGAACGCUGGCUUCGUGCUUAACACAUGCAAGUCGAACGGUAAGGCCCUUCGGGGUCCACGAGUGGCCAACGGGUGAGUAACACGUUGGUGAUCUGCCCUUCACUUCGGGGUAAGCCUGGGAAACUGGGCCUAAUCCCGGAUAGCACUCCUGUCUCCCUGGUUGGGGGUGGACAGCUUUUGCGGCGCGGGAUGGGCCCGCGCCCUAUAGGCUUGUUGGUGGGGUAAUGUCCUACCAAGGCGACGACGGGUAGCCGGCCUGAGAGGGUGACCGGUCACACUGGGACUGAGAUACGGCCCAGACUCCUACGGGAGGCAGCAGUGGGGAAUAUUGCACAAUGGGCGCAAGCCUGAUGCAGCGACGCCGCGUGAGGGAUGACGGCCUUCGGGUUGUAAACCUCUUUCAGCUAUGACGAAGCGCAAGUGACGGUAGUAGCAGAAGAAGGACCGGCCAACUACGUGCCAGCAGCCGCAGUAA
rnacentral:rRNA from 1 species